ACUAACGCAUGCGCAUUAUGAAUAUGUCAAUUUCCUGAUUUGGCGCCUUAUUUUCUUUACACCCACUCCACGCAUUGUUGAUAACAAUAUCCUGUACUAAACAUUUGUAUCUCGUUGUCAAAAUUCUUUCCAUGAAUAUUUCUCGUUUGUUAACGAUUGAAGUAACCUGUCUAAACCUGCUUCUAGGAAUCUGAGGUAAAAUUACACCCAAAGAAAUUUCCAUCUGCUGACAUUUUCAGCGACAUCUUUCUUUUCACUGCUUGGAACUUUUAUAAGACAAUUCUGCUUUCUUACGGAGUUUGGAUUACCAAGGAGCUUGCGGCACCAUCUUCAAAUAUUGACUGAGAAAAACAGUUAAUGGUAGAAUAAAAGAAAUAUAUAAAGGAUAUAAUAUAAAAACUUAAAGAAGAAAAAAACAUGAUGACUAGUGAAUUGGAUGAGGAGUCUGUUGGAUGUGAAUCACAGGCUGAAAAAACAGGUGUUAUUAACGAGGUAGAAAGUGAAAGUGGAACACCUCUAAAUUACUGCGAUAUCUGUGGUAAAUCAUUCUCUCGAAUAGGUAACCUUAAUAGGCACAAACGAACUACUCAUAGAGGAGAGAAACCAUAUCGGUGUGAUAUCUGUGGGAAAGCGUACUAUGAGGCAUGUGACGUCCGUAGACACAGACGUAUUCAUACAGGAGAAAAGGCAUAUCACUGUGACGUCUGUGGCAAAUCAUUCACUGACAACGGAGCCUUAAUUAAUCACAAACGUUGUCAUUCAGGAGAAAAACCAUAUUGUUGUACUAUCUGUGGGAAAUCAUUCGCUCGAAGUUCUGGCUUAGCUAGUCAUAAGUUUAUUCACUCAGGUAAAAAACCUCAUCAGUGUAAUAUCUGUGGUAAGUCAUUCUAUAAAACAGAGCAUGUAACUAUACACAUGCGUGUUCACACAGGUGAGAAGCCAUACAGUUGUGAUAUCUGUGGUAGAUCAUUUUCUAACAGUAGCAACGUGCCCAAACACAAACGCUUGCAUGCAGCAGAGAAACCAUUUCGCUGCGAUACCUGUGGGGAAGCAUUUUCUGAACAUAAAGAAUUAACCACUCACAAACAGAUUCAUGAAGAAGAAAAACCAUUUAAGUGUGAGAUCUGUGGUAAAGAAUUCACUGAGAAAGAUAUUUUCAUCACUCACAAAUUUAGUCAUACUGUAGAAAAACAAUAUCGGUGUGAUAUCUGUGGUAGUUCAUUCCCUGAAAGGCGUAAACUCACUGCACACAAAAUUAUUCACACAGGGAAAAAACGAUAUCCCUGUGAUAUCUGUGGUCAGUCGUUUGCUCAAAGUGGUACCUUAACCACGCAUAAACGUGUUCAUACUGGUGAGAAACCUUUUCGCUGCAAUAUAUGUGGUAAGUCCUAUUCUCAAAACAAAGGAUUAAUUUGUCACAAGCGUAUUCAUACAGGUGAAAGACCCUAUAAGUGUGAUGUAUGCGAUAAAUCCUUCAUGCAGAGUAGUUACUUAAAGUUUCAUAAAUAUAUUCAUACAGGUGAGAAACCAUUUCAGUGUGAUAUCUGUGGUCAAUCCUUCAAUCAUUCAACCACCUUAACUAUGCAUAAACGUACUCAUACAGGUGAGAAGCCACAUCGUUGUGAUGUCUGUGGUAAAUGUUUCACUUGUACAAGUGCCCUAACUGUUCAUAAACGUACUCAUACAGGUGAGAAGCCACAUCGUUGUGAUGUCUGUGGUAAAUCAUUCUCUCAAAGUGCUGUCUUAACUGUACACAAACGUACUCAUACAGGAGAGAAACCAUAUCAUUGUGAUAUCUGUGGUAAAUCAUUCUCUCAGAAACAUCACAUAACUAGACAUAAACUUAUCCAUACAGUUGAGAAACCAUACAGGUGUGAUAUCUGUGGUAAAUCAUUCUCUCAAAGUAGUAGCUUAAAUUCUCAUGUGUGUAGUCAUACAGGAGAGAAACCGUAUCACUGUGAUAUCUGUGGUAAGUUAUUCUCUCAGAGACACGACAUAGCUAGACACAAACGUGUUCAUACAGGAGAGAAACCAUAUCAUUGUGAUAUCUGUGACAAAUCAUUUGCUGGAAGCAACGACUUGACUAAACACAAACGUAUUCACACAGGAGAAAAAGCAUAUCAGUGUGAUAUCUGUGGUAAAUCAUUCUCUCAAAGUAGUAGCUUAACUUCUCACAAGCAUAGUCAUACAGGAGAGAAACCGUAUCACUGUGAUAUCUGUGGUAAAUCAUUCUCUCAGAAACAUCACAUCACUAGACACAAACGUAUCCAUACAGGUGAGAAACCAUACAGGUGUGAUAUCUGUGACAAAUCAUUUGCUGGAUGUAAUGACUUGAUUAAACACAAACGUAUUCACACAGGAGAGAAAGCAUAUCAGUGUGAUAUCUGUGGUAAAUCAUUCUCCCAGAGUAGUAAUUUAUCUUCUCACAAGCGUACUCAUACAGGAGAGAAACCUUAUUGCUGCAAUAUCUGUGGUAUAUCAUUCUCUGAAAGUAAUGACUUUAUUAGACACAAACUUAUUCACUCUGUAGGGAAGCCUUGUCCCUGACGUUUGUCGUAAAUCAUUCUCACAGAGAGGUAACUUCAGUAGACACCAUCAUAUUCACGCAGGAGGAAAACCAUAUCAGUGUGAUGUCUGGUAAAUCAUUGAUACAAAGAGGUGAUUAACUAAGCACAAACAAAUUUUUACAGUAAGUAACCCAGCAAUUCCAGAGACUGUCAUUUAAUUUGGAACCUUCGUUUCUUGGAAACAUUUGCUUCUCUUGGAAAACUAUUGACACAAGAAAUCACAACAGCUUUCAAUUCUAGAACUUCAAAAUGCUGAUACGCACAUUUGCCAAAAAUUUGCGACAACCACAAAAAACCAUUGUUGGAAGACUUGCUAAGUAUUUUCUCAUAAAAAGGAGUAGAGGAAUAGAGAUCGCUGCAGUUGAACAUUGUAACAUUAAACCUGAUUAUAAUGUCCUUGAAGUUGGUUUUGGCCCUGGCUUGGGCCUAGAAGCAGCCUAUCAGAAGAUCAAAGGUGGCAAAGGGAAAUUACUUGGCCUCGACUUAUCGCCUUAUAUGCUGGAAAUAGCAACUAAACGACUGAGUGAAGGCAUCAGCAAUAAACAAGUGGAACUGCAUCUUGGAAGUGUUAUGGAAAUGCCAUUUGAAACAAAUUCCUUUGAUCGGAUCUUUCACUGCAAUUGUUUUUAUUUUUGGCCUGAUUUUGACAAAUGUGUCCAAGAGCUGUAUCGUUGUUUAAAGCCAAACUCAUUAAUGAUAACGACAAUUAAUUAUGAAAAGAUAAAAUCUUCAAAAAAAAUUGGUAUACUGAGAUAUGGCAAUAUUGAUGUGGAACAUUAUGUGAAUGUUCUUAGCAGGAAUAAAUUCGAAAUUGUAAACAUGAAGACUCACAAGAAUGAAAGCAAAGAAUAUCAGGUUAUUUCAGCUUUCACAGGAUCAAAAGAACAAUAAUUUAGUAUCUAAUUGAUGUAAAGCAUGAAUUGAAGAUGAGGGGCUUAAGUAUGAAAAAAGUGGCCAGAACACAGUAGCUUUCUUGUCAGAGGGGCAGCAUGGCUAUUCACAUUUAUAAGAGAGGAUGGGCGUGAUCGGAUUGAGUUGGAGAAAGAUAAAAGUGUUGAUGCGGUGUCAGAGUUGAUCUUCAAGGUACAAUGUGGGUAAAAUGAGUGGGUGCCAUUUCUUAUUGGAGCAAUGAAUGAUUAUAUAAUGUCCUUACAGUGGUUCAGUAAAGCCUUAAAAUGCUGCCAAAUCAGAUGAGUUUAUGUAGCAAAUCAGGCAGACUACCUCGUCAAAAGUCCAGGCAAGUAGGCAGCAAGAAAUUAAUCAAAUGACAGGAUAUUAUUAUCCACUGGUGAAAUGUUUAUGGCUGACACAAAUAUAAGCCAAGGAAUUUUCAGAAGAGACCAUGUGUUAUUUUUUAUACAAACAUGUUGAAGCUUAUCGUUUUUGAAAUGUUUCUUUUAUGAUGCAAUAAAUAAUUAAAUUUUUCAGAACCCAAA
rnacentral:misc_RNA from 1 species